GACGAACGCUGGCGGCGUGCCUAAUACAUGCAAGUCGGACGCAGUUGCGAACGGUUGAGUAACGCGUAGGUAACUACCUAUUAGAGGGGGAUAACUAUUGGAAACGAUAGCUAAUACCGCAUACUAGUAGAUGGACCUGCGUUGUAUUUGCUAGUAGGUAGGGUAAUGGCCUACCUAGGCAACGAUACAUAGCCGAGCUGAGGUGGGGGUCGGGCACAAGGGGACUGAGAAAAGGGCCAGAAGCCGAAGGGAGGCAGCAGUAGGGAAGCGUCGGCAAGUGGUGGAAAGCUGCACGAGCAACGGCGCGGGAGUGGAGAAGGUUUUCGGAUCGUAAAGCUCUGUUGGUAAGGAAGCGGUACUUGACCAGAAAGGAACGGCUAACUACGUGCCAGCAGCCGCGGUAAUUC
rnacentral:rRNA from 1 species